rfam:Ictidomys tridecemlineatus contig011465, whole genome shotgun sequence.
GGGGGUGUAGCUCAGUGAUAGAGCACUUGCCUCGCAUGCAUAAGGGCCUGGGUUCAAUCCCCGGCAUUGCAA